CUUCCCUGACAAAUAUCAAGCAAAGGAAAAUGUUUCUGAACAAAAAUGAGUUUUUGCUACAAUGGAAUGUUUACAGCACAAUGAGGAUUCAGGCCUCUGCUGCUGCACUGAACACUUUACUUAGGGUAUGUCUAUACUACAAGUCCUACAGCUGCAGUACUAUAGCUAUGCUGCAGUAGCGUGUUCACUUAGCCCUGGUCUACACUACAAGUUUAGGUCGAAUUUAGCAGCGUUAGAUCAAUUUAACCCUGCACCCGUCCACAUGAUGAAGCCAUUUUUGUCGACUUAAAGGGCUCUUAAAAUCGAUUUCUGUACCCCUCCCCGACGAGGGGAUUAGUGCUGAAAUCGACAUCGCCGGGUAGAAUUUGGGGGUAGCGUGGACGCAAUUCGACGGUAUUGGCCUCCGGGAGCUAUCCCAGAGUGCUCCAUUGUGACCGCUCUGGACAGCACUCUCAACUCGGAUGCACUGCCCAGGUAGACAGGAAAAGGCCCGUGAACUUUUGAAUUUCAUUUCCUGUUUGGCCAGUGUGGCAAGCUGAUCAGCAUAGGUGACCAUGCAGAGCUCAUCAGCACAGGUGACCAUGGAGUCCCAGAUUCACAAAAGAGCUCCAGCAUGGACCAAACAGGAGGUACUGGAUCUGAUCGCUGUAUGGGGAGACGAAUCCGUGCUAUCAGAACUCCAUUCCAAAAGACAAAAUGCCAAAAUAUUUGAAAAAAAAUCUCCAAGGGCAUGAAGGACAGAGGCUAUCAUAGGGACCCGCAGCAGUGCCGCGUGAAACUUGAGCUCAGGCAAGCCUACCAAAAAACCCAAGUGCCGCUUUGGGUCAGACCCCCAGACAUGCUGCUUCUAUGAUGAGCUGCAUGCAAUUCUAGGGGGUGCCCCUACAACUACCCCAUCCGUGUACGUGGACUCCUGCAAGGGAGUCUCACGCAACAGGGAUGAGGAUUUUGGGGAUGAGGAAGAUGAUGAUGAGGAGGAGGUUGAAGAUAGCACACAGCAGGCAAGCGGAGAAAGCGUUCUCCCCGACAGCCAGGAACUAUUUAUCACCCUGGAAACAGUACCCUCCCAACCCGGGCUCCCGGACCUUGAAGGCGGAGAAGGCACCUCUGCUGCAAAUGUUUCAACGCUCCCCCUAUCAUCUCCGUCCCAGAGGCUAGCGCAGAUAAGAAGGCGAAAGAAAACGCACUUGCGAUGAAAUGUUCUCUGAGCUCAUGCAGUCCUCCCGCACUGAAAGAGCCCAACAGAAUGCGUGGAGGCAAACAAUGUCAGAGUCUAGGAAAGCACAAAAUGAACAUGAGGACAGGUGGCAGGACCAACAGGAGAGGUGGUGGGAUCAAGAGGCGCUUAGUGAGGACACACAAUCGACUGUAUAAAAUCGCUUCCUAAAAAAAUCGACUUCUAUAAAUUUGACCUAAUUUCGUAGUGUAGACAUACCCUUACUAAAGUGACCAUUGCUGUAGUAUAUCGACCCCCUCAAGAGGUGGUAACUAGGUUGACUGAAGAAUUCUCAAUGCUUACACCUUCUGGAAUGGUUCCUCCAAGCUUGGUGGGCUUUCUGAUGGGUUCCUGUUUGGAAACCUCUGCUCUGAAAAGCAUAAGGCACUCUAGGACACAAACAGGGAUAGAGAAAGUGGGGGCCUGAGCAUGUUUGAUGGUGUUCCUCUCAGGCCCAUCCACUCACUCCUGUAGGAUAGAUCCUCAAAAACACCAGCAGGGAAACAAAAAAAGCCUCAUAUAUUUUUCCUCCCUGAGGAUGUACAUACUGUUUAAAGCGUGCUUGAUCAAAACUUGACUUAGAAAUCAUGCAAAUUGACAAUCACCCUUUAAACAGUUCUAAGAAUCAAAUCAUUUAAGCUUUCUGUCUUGGUACGAAGACUAUAUUCACAGUAAACAUAACGCAGAAAUAAUCACUUCCUCUUUAUUAAAGCAAAUAACUAAUUGUGGCAGCUCAUGGCAUUUUAUCCAGAAGAAAGAUAUUGUACAAAUUUGUAGUUAUUUGGAUGUAAAUAAUGUUUAGUGCACGCUGUCAGUGUUUGCUGUCUGUACAGCUUGCAACACCCAAUACUCCCUGAUAUGUUAUCACACUUAAUGAAUACUUUUUACCCUUUAUAUUAUGUCAACACACAUUGCAACAACACACAAUGUGCAGAAACUUAUAGUAACUAAAGCUCUUCCAUUAACUAUGACAGCUAAAGAUCUCAUAAGUGCUUUUAAACCAAAAUUAUGGAAUAAAGACUUUUCUAUUCAGA